CUACGGGAUGCUGCAGUGAGGAAUAUUGCGCAAUGGGGGAAACCCUGACGCAGCGACGCCGCGUGGAUGAUGAAGGCCUUCGGGUCGUAAAAUCCUGUCAGAAGGAAAGAAGUGUAUGGUAGCUAAUAUCUGCCAUACUUGACGGUACCUUCAAAGGAAGCACCGGCUAACUCCGUGCCAGCAGCCGCGGUACUACGGAGGGUGCAAGCGUUGUUCGGAAUUACUGGGCGUAAAGCGCGCGUAGGCGGUUUUAUAAGUCAGAUGUGAAAGUCCACGGCUCAACCAUGGAAGUGCAUUUGAAACUGUAAGACUUGAGUAUUGGAGGGGGUAGUGGAAUUCCCGGUGUAGAGGUGAAAUUCGUAGAUAUCGGGAGGAAUACCGGUGGCGAAGGCGACUAUCUGGCCAAAUACUGACGCUGAGGUGCGAAAGCGUGGGGAGCAAACAGGAUUAGAUACCCUCGUAGUC
rnacentral:rRNA from 1 species